GACACCCGUGAGUGGGGCGGGAAUGAAUAAUUACAGGUACUGUUGGUGACUUGAUCUGUUGGUGACCGUAUCCUGUUGGUGACUUCUGGUUGGUCAUGUUGGUGACUUGGUUCAGAAGUAUGGGUUUCUGAUGAUCUUGGUUUGUGGUUUCCGGUUCCAAAUUCGUGCCGAAGUUCUGAUCCUGUGCCUCGUGAUACACAGCCAACCAGUCAUAAUUGCAUCAUUUGC
rnacentral:lncRNA from 1 species